AGAGUUUGAUCCUGGCUCAGGAUGAACGCUAGCGACAGGCCUAACACAUACAAGUCGAGGGGCAUCGAGGAUUAGCAAUAAUUUGUCGGCGACCGGCGCACGGGUGAGUAACACGUAUGCAACCUGGCUUCAACACGAGAAUAACCCGUUGAAAGACGGCCUAAUACUCGAUAAAACAGGGACCCCGCCUGGGGAUAUUUGUUAAAGAUUUAUCGGUUGAAGAUGGGCAUGCGUAUGAUUAGCUAGUUGGUGAGGUAACGGCUCACCAAGGCAGCGAUCAUUAGGGGUUCUGAGAGGAAGGUCCCCCACACUGGUACUGAGACACGGACCAGACUCCUACGGGAGGCAGCAGUGAGGAAUAUUGGUCAAUGGGCGCGAGCCUGAACCAGCCAAGUCGCGUGAAGGAAGACUGCCCUAUGGGUUGUAAACUUCUUUUGUACAGGAAUAAAGUGAGUCACGUGUGGCUUUUUGUAUGUACUGUACGAAUAAGGAUCGGCUAACUCCGUGCCAGCAGCCGCGGUAA
rnacentral:rRNA from 1 species